GUCUACGCCCCUGCUACCCUGAACAAGCUCGAUCCCAUCCGAUCUCAGAAGCUAAGCAGGGUCAGGCCUGGUUAGUACUUGGACUGGAGACCACCUAGAAAGACUAGGUGCUGUGAGGU
rnacentral:rRNA from 1 species